rnacentral:rRNA from 1 species
AGGGAAUCUUCGGCAAUGGACGCAAGUCUGACCGAGCAACGCCGCGUGAGUGAAGAAGGUUUUCGGAUCGUAAAACUCUGUUGUUAGAGAAGAACAAGGAUGAGAGUAAAAUGUUCAUCCCUUGACGGUAUCUAACCAGAAAGCCACGGCUAACUACGUGCCAGCAGCCGCGGUAAUACGUAGGUGGCAAGCGUUGUCCAGAUUUAUUGGGCGUAAAGCGAGCGCAGGCGGUUCUUUAAGUCUGAUGUGAAAGCCCCCGGCUUAACCGGGGAGGGUCAUUGGAAACUGGGGAACUUGAGUGCAGAAGAGGAGAGUGGAAUUCCAUGUGUAGCGGUGAAAUGCGUAGAUAUAUGGAGGAACACCAGUGGCGAAGGCGGCUCUCUGGUCUGUAACUGACGCUGAGGCUCGAAAGCGUGGGGAGCAAAC